AUACGUAGGGGGCGAGCGUUGUCCGGAAUGACUGGGCGUAAAGGGCGUGUAGGCGGCUGUCUAAGUCUGGAGUGAAAGUCCUGCUUUCAAGGUGGGAAUUGCUUUGGAGACUGGAUGGCUUGAGUGCGGAAGAGGUAAGUGGAAUUCCCAGUGUAGCGGUGAGAUGCGUAGAGAUUGGGAGGAACACCAGUGGCGAAGGCGACUGGCUGGGCCGUAACUGACGCUGAGGCGCGAAAGCGUGGGGAGCGAACAGGAUUAGAUACCCUGGUAGUCCUCGCUGUAAACGAUGAGUGCUAGGUGUUGGGUAGCGAUAUUCAGUGCCGAAGUAAACACAAUAAGCACUCCGCCUGGGGAGUACGGUCGCAAGACUGAAACUCAAAUGAAUUGACGGGG
rnacentral:rRNA from 1 species